GGAUUGUGAGUUCGGGCCCCACGUUGGGAGAGCCACCAGCCAUGGAAAGGAUGAAAAUCUUAUGGAUGAGAAUACCAAGAGUCCAGGUACCCAUUGUGCACAAGAAAGCUAGUUCUAGUUCCCUUGGGAUCCUAGACACACUUCCAGAAGAUUAAACUAGCAGUCCAGAACAUUUUCAGCCUUCAUUUAUAAGAUGUAUUCAUCCAACAAGUAUUUAUUGGUUAUCUUCUCUGUGCCGGAGAAGGUGGUAGAGAUAGUGCAGUGAACAGCCCUGCCUCAUGGAUUUGACAGUCUAGUGGGGGAGGCACACAAAUCUCUGCCUGGCUCUUUCUGCUUCCUGGAGGAGUUCGCUUCUGCCUCACAGCAGACUCUACACUGAGACAUGUCUUCCUACCAGAAAAGAAGCUCCUAUUCCAAUAAACCAAGUCCAUUGUCCUUGCUAAAAAUCUG